AUUUAUUCUAUUUUUUUUUAGACUAGAGUCUGGAUUUGUGAUAAGCCCCGAUGGUAGUUUAAACGUCAUUAAGAAGACGAAAGUUCCGGAUUGUGUAUUUCCAAAUUCUUCUCAAAAAAGUAUCGUCAGUACAGUAAAUGGUGCGACACAUGAAAUAACUGGACUUCUUGCAAAGAAGCAAAUAAAACUUCAGAGGAGAGAUGGAUUCUCUGAAGUUUCAUUUGUAGAGUUUUC